AACCAACGCUGGCGGCGUGCCUAAUACAUGCAAGUCGAACGGGGAAAGCUUUCGGGUGAGUACUAGUGGCGCACGGGUGAGGAACGCGUGGAUAAUCUGCCUUAGAGUGGGGGAUAACUAGUCGAAAGAUUAGCUAAUACCGCAUAAGACCACGAGAGCUGCGGCUUUUGAGGUCAAAGGUUUUUCGCUCUAAGAUGAGUCCGCGUAAGAUUAGCUAGUUGGUGAGGUAACGGCUCACCAAGGCGACGAUCUUUAACUGGUCUGAGAGGAUGAUCAGUCACACUGGAAGUGGGACACGGUCCAGACUCCUACGGGAGGAAGCAGGAGGGAAUAUUGCACAAUGGAGGAAACUCUGAUGCAGCGCCGCCGCGUGAGUGAUGAAGGCCUUCGGGUCGUAAAGCUCUGUCGCAGGGGAAUAACACAAUGAAGGUACCCUGUAAGAAAGGAUCGGCUAACUUCGUG
rnacentral:rRNA from 1 species